rnacentral:rRNA from 1 species
AGAUUAAGCCAUGCAUGUCUCAGAAAUAGCUUUUUCACAGUAAAUCUGCAAAUGGCUCAUUAAAACAGUGAUUGUUUGAUUGGGCUUCAUGUACAUGGAUAUCAUUGGUAAUUCUACUGCUAAUACAUGCCCCUCUCUCCAACUGAAAAGGCGGGGAAGCUUACUAGUUCCAAAACUUGUGCUGGCAAUGUUAGCAUUUAUUGCUGAUUCACAGUAAACCUUUGAAUCAAGUGGCAGAUGCCAUUGAUCACCCAUUUGAAUUUCUGACCUAUCAGCUUCCGACGGUGGGAUUUUGGCUCCCCGUGGCAAUGACGGGUGACGGAGAAUUAGGGUUUGAUUCCGGAGAGGGAGCCUGAGAGAUGGCUACUACAUCUAAGGAAGGCAGCAGGCGCGCAAAUUACCCAAUCUUGACAACAGGAGGUAGUGACAAGAAAUAACAAUAUGGGGCAUCUGUGUCUUGUGAUUGGAAUGAGCUCACAAUAAAGAUGUCUGUGAAUAUCCAUUGGAGGGCAAGUCUGGUGCCAGCAGCCGCGGUAAUUCCAGCUCCAAUAGCGUAUAUUAAAGUUGCUGCAGUUAAAAAGCUCGUAGUUGGAUUUCUGCGGGGGGAACUGGUCUGCCCAUUGGGUGUGUACCUGGCUCUGCCCCAGCAUUAUGUUGGGAGUCCUUGCUGCACUUGACUGUGUGGGAUGGAAUCCACAAUGUUUACCUUGAGAAAAUCAAAGUGCUUAGGGCAGGCAUUUGUCAUGGAUACAUUAGCAUGGAAUAAUACGACAAGCAUUGCUUUUGUUGGUUUCGAAACAAUGUAAUGAUGAAUAGGGGCAGUUGGGGGCAGUUGUAUUUAAUUGUCAGAGGUGAAAUUCUUGGAUUUGUUAAAGACAAUCGACUGCGAAAGCAUUUGCCAAGGAUGUUUUCAUUGAUCAAGAACGAAAGUUAGGGGAUCGAAGACGAUCAGAUACCGUCUUAGUCUUAACCAUAAACUAUGCCAGCUAGGAGUCGGGGUUUGUUAUUGUGUGAUCUCCUUGGUGUCUUAUGGGAAAUCAAAGUCUUUGGGCUCUGGGGGGAGUAUGGUCGCAAGUCUGAAACUUAAAGGAAUUGACGGAAGGGCACCACCAGGAGUGGAGCCUGCGGCUUAAUUUGACUCAACACGGGGAAACUUACCAGGUCCGGACACAAUAAGGAUUGACAGAUUGAUAGCUCUUUCUUGAUUUUGUGGGUGGUGGUGCAUGGCCGUUCUUAGUUGGUGGAGUGAUCUGUCUGGUUAAUUCCGUUAACGAACGAGACCUUAACUUGCUAAGUAGUUGCAUGUAACCUGGGUUAUGUGGAUGACUUCUUAGAGGGACCUUGUGUGCAUAAUGCAAGGAAGUUUGAGGCAAUAACAGGUCUGUGAUGCCCUUAGAUGUUCUGGGCUGCACGCGCGCUACACUGAUGUGCUCAACAAGUGUCCUUUGCUUGGAAAAGUUGGGCAACCCUGCAAGCCAUACCGCGAUGGGGAUCGAUUGUUGCAAUUAUUAAUCUUAAACGAGGAAUUCCUAGUAGACGCGAUUCAUCAGAUCGUGUUGAUUAUGUCCCUGCCCUUUGUACACACCGCCCGUCGCUCCUACCGAUUGAAUGAUCCGGUAAAUAUGUCAGACCAUCAUUGCUUUCACUUUGUGCUUGCUGUGGUGGGAAGUUUUAUGAACCUUAUUAUUUAGAGGAAGGAGAAGUCGUAACAA